AAAAUAAACCUACAGCUCUCAAAAGUCUACCUUUGUUUAUGAGGGGAAAAGUCUGGAAACUUCCUGAAGUCUUGCCUGGACACAGACCCAGAAGACACUCACACAAAAGGGAUGAAGAAGGGGGUAUUAACUGUCGUUGAAGAUGACGUUGCCACCAUCCAUUCAAACCCAAAUUGUAGAUAUACAAUGUUGCGGGGUACAGUGAUGGUGAUCAGAAGCAAACUAGUCCUGAGCUGGAGCUCAACUGUAGCAGACUGUUGACAUUUACAGUCCAAAUCCAUCCUCAAAGCUCCCGUUCUUACUCCGGAAUUCCAUGGAACCACCCAAGGCGUUGAUGAAAAACCGUCCACAGCUGAACAAAGUGGCCUC